rnacentral:rRNA from 1 species
UACAGAGGUCCCAAGCGUUGUUCGGAUUUAUUGGGCGUAAAGAGCUCGUAGGCGGCUUGUCGCGUCGACUGUGAAAUCCCGCGGCUCAACUGCGGGUCUGCAGUCGAUACGGGCAGGCUAGAGUUCGGUAGGGGAGACUGGAAUUCCUGGUGUAGCGGUGAAAUGCGCAGAUAUCAGGAGGAACACCGGUGGCGAAGGCGGGUCUCUGGGCCGAUACUGACGCUGAGGAGCGAAAGCGUGGGGAGCGAACAGG